rnacentral:rRNA from 1 species
UACGGGGGGGGUAAGCGUUGUUCGGAAUUACUGGGCGUAAAGGGCUCGUAGGCGGCCAACUAAGUCAGACGUGAAAUCCCUCAGCUUAACUGGGGGACUGCGUCUGAUACUGGAUGGCUUGGAUUCGGGAGAGGAAUGCGGAAUUCCAGGUGUAGCGGUGAAAUGCGUAGAUAUCUGGAGGAACACCGGUGGCGAAGGCGGCAUUCUGGACCGAUAUUGACGCUGAGGAGCGAAAGCCAGGGGAGCAAACGGG